rnacentral:rRNA from 1 species
AGAAAACCACGACCCCUAUCCGCCCGGGGACUACGAGCAUAAGCUUAAAACCCAAAGGACUUGGCGGUGCUUUAGACCCCCCUAGAGGAGCCUGUUCUAGAACCGAUAACCCCCGUUCAACCUCACCUUUUCUUGCCUAUCCCGCCUAUAUACCGCCGUCGUCAGCAUACCCUGUGAAGGAACCAUAGUAAGCAAAACUGGUAAAACCCCAAACGUCAGGUCGAGGUGUAGCACACGAAAAGGAAAGAAAUGGGCUACAUUUCCUACCUCAGGAAACACGAAUUGUGCUAUGAAACAACAUAUGAAGGAGGAUUUAGCAGUAAGUGGAAAACAGAGCGUUC